rnacentral:ncRNA from 1 species
AUAAUUGAAAAGAAUCAGAAAAGUAGUGAAUUAGCUAUUUUUAGAGAGCCUGUGGUCGGUGAAAACAGGUAAUAGCGAUUGAUGAAUGGGCUGAUGGAUCAAGAAUCUGAAAUCAUAAAGAUUCGGCUUGCAGGCCUUAUAUGCAAAUGAGAUGAGAUGACUCAUAAGUGAGGUGGCACCGUGUCUUUGACGCCCUCGCA